CUGCUUCUACUAUUGUAGAACUCACUAACUCAUUGUUUAUUUAUAUAGCAAUUUUGUUGACCUGUUUUUUGCCUUUUAUCUCUGCAAAUGCUGACUACUCUGAACUGAUAAGAAGUAUCACUGGUAUCCCCCAUCCCCCCUUUCAAUAAUCAAUUAUUAGGAAAUUACAUAUUAUGACAUUACCAUACCCAGGUUUCUUUCCAGAAUGACUUACUCUUAGGGAUAUUUGGAAAGAUGUAGGUGGCUUUUUUUGUUCUGUAGUAAACUAGCAUGGAUUCUGUAUGUAUUCGUGUUUUAUAUUUGCUAGUGAUGCUUCUGUUCAAAUUUGCUUCUCAGCUAUCUUUUUUUUGUUUGCUUAUGUUUUAUAACAUUACAGAUAGCUAUAUUCUUUUAAAUUAUCUCAGUGAGCUACCCAGAGUUUGGAUAAAAAUGAGAUAAAUGUAGGCAAAUAUGACACUAGAGGUUCUUCAUUAUCUUAUAAAAUGUCACAUUACAGUAGUAAGAAGAUGCAUAUAGAAAUUAUCUUAACAGCAUGAAGAUUUCAACCUUAAAUGAACGAUGUAAUUUGUAGUGAAUUUCACCUUAUUUGCUAGUGUCAACUGUCUGUUUUAAAUGAGAUAAUGGAACUGUCAAACAUAUUUAAAGAGUUCAGACACCAUAGUACAAAACUGGCAUAGAAUGCCUUUGUGAUAGCUUAUGCCUUUUUUUUUUUUUUUUUGAAAGAUAAUUCAGUAUUUCAUUGCUUUGGCACCUCAAAGAAUGGCAUGAUAUGUUCACUUAGUUAUUUUAGGUGUUCAUGGUUGAGAUGCAAUAGGUACAAAGCUUGUUUGAGGUUCUUUCUGAAUCAUAAUUUGAAGUAGUGACCAAGUAAACAUCUUCCUCAGUUCUCAUCUCAAUGAGGGGAAAGUAAUUUGUCUUACAUAUGUAUGAAUUUUUGCUUCUGUAGCGAACAGAUACAUACAUGUGCUGCAUGGCCAAAAUUUUUUGUUACCUUUUACUUUUUGUAAGCACUUCCAAUUUACACUGCAGAAUAACAAACAGAGAUGUGAAGGGAUAAUACUGUAUGUAAUCUCCUAUUUUUAUUACCGUUCAACAGCUAGUAAGUAAACACAAUCCUUUAGAUUCUAAGACUGCCUGAAAGUUCUUAAAUUUGGAGAAAUAACAGCCUGGUGAAACAAGAAGCUUGGAAGCACUAAACAUGAGCGUGCGAUUUUUCCACCAUAAAAGCACUGUUAUUCUCCUGAGCAGUAUGUUGCUAGAAAUGACCAGUAAAGCAGCAUUACAAAAGUAGUUGUGUCUUUAACAUUCAGAACAGACACACAGAAGCUGGCUUUCUUGCAACAGAAUUGAAGUUUUAACACUUUGUUGCAAGUGGACAUACUUAAAACUGGAUAAGGAAUUGCCAUGUGAUCAACGGGUUUCAUGCAGGAAAUCACAAGACAACAUUGUUCUGCAUUAGGUAAUGCUAACAAAAACAAGAUAGGCUGAAAUGAACAACAGUUCUGUAGUUUCCCAGGCUCUCCGCAGGAGACUGUCACUGUGCUGUGUGUUGCCUUCGUUAACAGUAUUGGUUUAAGAUACUGCAGUCCUGCUUUUUGCUCUGCCAUUUUUUCUUUUUCCUCCAUAGUCACACUUGCUCCUUCAUUUGUACCAGCACAGUUGCUUAUGAAGAUGCACUGGGUACCAAGCUGGAAUCUGAUCAGAUACUUUAGCAACUCAGCAAAAAACCUGAACUACAUAAAUCAGAAGAAAAGCCACUUGAAAAGACCCGUGUUCAAAAGUGAUCCAGAUGGUCUUCAACAGCAGAAGAUGGAGGAUCAGCAUCCCACUAUUGGAAACCACCUGGUCCAG